rnacentral:rRNA from 1 species
CCCACCUGACCCCAUGCCGAACUCAGAAGUGAAACGCCGCAGCGCCGAUGGUAGUGUGGGGCCUCCCCAUGCGAGAGUAGGGAACUGCCAGGC